GCCUGGUUGGCUCAGUCGGUAAAGCGUCUGUCUUCAGCUCAGGUCAUGAUCCCAGGGUCCUGGGAUCGAGUUCUGCAUCAGGCU
rnacentral:tRNA from 1 species